rnacentral:pre_miRNA from 1 species
AACAUACUCCCUCCGUUCGGAAUUACUUGUCUCGGAAAUGGAUGUAUCUAGAACUAAAAUACGUCUAGAUACAUCCAUUUCUGCGACAAGUAAUUCCGAACGGAGGGAGUAUAAA